CAGGGAACCUGACCAGCACGCCGCGUGAAGGAUGAAGGCCUUCGGGUUGUAAACUUCUUUUAGCAGGAAAGAACAAAAUGACGGUACCUGCAGAAAAAGCACCGGCUAACUCUGUGCCAGCAGCCGCGGUAAUACAGAGGGUGCAAGCGUUAAUCGGAUUUACUGGGCGUAAAGCGUGCGUAGGCGGCUGAUUAAGUCGGAUGUGAAAUCCCUGAGCUUAACUUAGGAAUUGCAUUCGAUACUGGUCAGCUAGAGUAUGGGAGAGGAUGGUAGAAUUCCAGGUGUAGCGGUGAAAUGCGUAGAGAUCUGGAGGAAUACCGAUGGCGAAGGCAGCCAUCUGGCCUAAUACUGACGCUGAGGUACGAAAGCAUGGGGAGCAAACAGGAUUAGAUACCCUGGUAGUCCAUGCCGUAAACGAUGUCUACUAGCCGUUGGGGCCUUUGAGGCUUUAGUGGCGCAGCUAACGCGAUAAGUAGACCGCCUGGGGAGUACGGUCGCAAGACUAAAACUCAAAUGAAUUGACGGGGGCCCGCACAAGCGGUGGAGCAUGUGGUUUAAUUCGAUGCAACGCGAAGAACUUUACCUGCGCUUGACAUACUAGAAACUUCCAGAGAUGGAUUGGUGC
rnacentral:rRNA from 1 species